AUCAGGGAAUUUCGGCGAGCCCCACGGGGAAGUGAACGCUCUGUCCUCGCUGUCCCCCGGCGUGUCGCGGUCGAAAGCACCCCGGGCAGAACUGGUGGCGUGAAGUGAGGGCACGUUCAGGGAACUGCAGGGAGCGGCUCCUUCUCUCGAGCGAAUAGGUGCCAAAGCCGCUGGAUUUCCAGCAGGGAGAAUCUCCGGCCGUGGGGUUUUGUGAGCCUGGCACGGCGGUGCCGUCCCUGCGCCUUCUGGAGUGGGGGCUCACCGUGAAGCAAAUGCCACGGUGUACAGCUACCAGAUACAGCUGGAAUGAACAGGACUAAAAACAAUCAUACAAACUCCCAGGCCAAGACGGACUUUCUGUAGGAAUCUCCCAGAAGCAAGAAGAGGUACUUCUUCUUGAAACAGCCCCCUGCUAUUUGUUGAAGUUCUCAGCAAUGCAGACAAGAUAAGAAGAAACUUAAGAGGGCAUUGGCAUAAUCAUAGAUGUGUGGCAAGGUAGGACAUUAAACGUGUUCCUGUGCCUCUGAAAGGUCAUUCUUCUGCUCAGAGAGGAGUGAUUUUUUUUUUUCAACAUAUUUGAAAAUAGUCUGAGAAGCUGGUUAUCAUUGAAGUAAUGAAAUAAGUCAUAUCUGAAGCAGUGACAUUUAAUUAGCCUUUAGUAUAGC